ACUAACCAGGAUUCCCUUAGUAGCGGCGAGCGAACAGGGAACAGCCCAGCACCGAAUCCCGCGUUCGAUUUCUCGGACGCCGGGAAAUGUGGUGUUAGGGAGGGUCCGCUAUCCCGUGGUCGCGCGGUGCGUAUAAGUCUUUCUUGAACGGGGCCACUUACCCAUAGAGGGUGCCAGGCCCGUACUUACCACCGUCGAUCGCGGGAGGAUCUCUCCUCAGAGUCAGGUUGCUUGAGAGUGCAGCCCUAAGUUGGUGGUAAACUCCAUCUAAGGCUAAAUAUGACCACGAGACCGAUAGCGAACAAGUACCGUGAGGGAAAGUUGAAAAGAACUUUGAAGGGAGAGUUCAAUAGUACGUGAAACCGUUCAGGGGUAAGCCUGAGAAGCUCGAAAGGUCGAGUGGGGAGAUUCAGCGUGUCUCUCGGCUUGCGAGCAGUGGUCGGUGACGGGUGGCGCGUUCGCGCGUCGCUCGCGCCUUUCGCUGCCGUCUCGUUGGGAACGCGUGCACUUCUCCCCAAGUAGGACGUUGUGACCCGUUGGGUGUCGGUCUAAGGCCCGCGGUGGAGCCCGCUCGGACGGCUUGCCGUACCAGGUGGACCCGCGGUCGCCCGGCCGACUCGCCCGACGGUAUACGACAGUGGUGCAGAGCCGCAAAACUUAUGUUUGCGUCCGGGCCCGCCUAACGGCGGCGUCCUCGGACAGACUCUCUGAUACGCCGGUCGGCAACGCUUUAGCUUUGGGUACUUUCAGGACCCGUCUUGAAACACGGACCAAGGAGUCUAGCAUGUGCGCGAGUCAUUGGGACUAGCGAAACCUAAAGGCAGAAUGAAAGUGAAGGCCGCCUUGCGCGUGCCGGGGGAAGAUGGGUCGCGUCUCGACGCGGCCCCGCAAUCCCGGGGCGUCUCGUUCUCAUUGCGAGAUGAGGCGCACCCUGAGCGUACACGCUGGGACCCGAAAGAUGGUGAACUAUGCCUGGUCAGGACGAAGUCAGGGGAAACCCUGAUGGAGGUCCGUAGCGAUUCUGACGUGCAAAUCGAUCGUCUGAACUGGGUAUAGCGGCGAAAGACCAAUCGAACCAUCUAGUAGCUGGUUCCCUCCGAAGUUUCCCUCAGGAUAGCUGGUGCUCGUAAUGCGAGUUUCAUCCGGUAAAGCGAAUGAUUAGAGGCAUUGGGGUCGAAACGGCCUCAACCUAUUCUCAAACUUUAAAUGGGUGAGAUCUCCGGCUUAUUUGAACGUGAAGCCGCGAGAUUCGAAUCAGAG
rnacentral:rRNA from 1 species